UCAAUCAGAACGUGUCGGACUCAUCAGCUAAGACUCCCAAUAGAGUAGAACAAACGUUGGCCAAAUAUCAGCUACAGUCAACACUGAAUACCUACCAUAAAUCGGGAGGAAGCAGUGAAACCUACUGGGAGGCUCAGGACCAGCAGAAGGGCCAGUGUCCAGGGAAUGGUAAAUAUUAGAUGACCAGAUUUGAUCAUGAGCCCAUGCAGGGCACUUAGUGAUUCCGAGCAACACUUGGGAUAUCAUAAAGCAGGCACAGCAGUCUGGCAAGUUAAUCCCCAACCACUCUUGUUUCACUUGUUGGAAAGGUAAGUCAAGAAGCCCUGGGGUGGGGUGUGACCUCAGAGGAUGUUUAGGCAGUAAAGACACUCAUGUUAUGCCAAGUAACUUACUAGUAAAAAGGAACUCACAGGUUUUCUUGAUGUAAAAGGUAGAGAUCCUGAUACAGUUGAUGGCUGCUUUGAAUUUUUCCUUUAAUUGGGAGAAAAAAAACGCACAUUACAUUUGAGAAAUGCUGUUCUAAACUCUGGUUCCUGUGUUAAAAUGGAAAACAAUGUGGGGGGAUGGGAGAGAUUUCCAGAGAGCAAGUAAAGCAAAAAGGAGGAAAGCUCUGGGAGCCAGGACAGGAGCAAGCCAUGCCUUAGCGUCUACUUCCCCCUGAAAAGCAUUUGGGCAAAGCUGGGGUGAUUAUAGGGAGAGUGGAAAUGCCACAGAGCGUAGGCACGGAAAGCCGAGGGGCUGGAGAUGCCACAUCUGUGAGAUGUGUACACACUCACACAAGUUUAUAUGGACACAUAGGACUGUGUUUAUAUACACUGGUGCGUA